CCACCAUCCAGUCAGCUGAAAUGAACCUCUGCUUGGUCAGCUCUCAUAAACCGUCCAUCCAGUUUCUAGGCUAGUUCCUGCUAUGAUCAUCUGAAUUUAUGCUGCUCUCAUAGACCUAAUAUCUUGGUGAGACAACCUGGGCCCUAGAAUCCACCAUCUUUGUCUUUGGGAACUCCUUCUGGGCAGCCAUCUGCAGGCCUGAGUGUUGCAGCUAUCAAACUGGACCAGGGAUUCACCCAUCUCACAGAGCUGUUACAGGGAUGGAAACUAACCAGUGUGGGUUUCCUCUGCCUGGACCAUGCCUCUCACAGACAACCAGUCUUGUGGCUCAUUCACGCCCUCACCUCCUUUAGCAAUUGGCUGCAAUAUCUCCUCUCCCAGGCAUUACCUGAUUCCCCUUCUUAAAGUUGCAACUCACUGCCUCUACUCAGUCCUCCCUCCCUGACCCCUCCCUUGCUUAUAUUUGUCGAGGGGACAAUCACUGUCUUGUCAGAGACACAUCGGUAAUUACGAUGUGAAUCAUAAGCUUUAUGGCCUUCUUUUGCACAGGCCCCUUCCAGAAUUUGUUGUAAGUUCUUUGUGCAUUUUAAAUAAAUAUUUCCU
rnacentral:lncRNA from 1 species